GAUGAACGCUAGCUACAGGCUUAACACAUGCAAGUCGAGGGGCAGCACUAGGUAGCAAUACUGAGGUGGCGACCGGCGCACGGGUGCGUAACGCGUAUCCAACCUUCCCGUUACUCUUGGAUAGCCUUCCGAAAGGGAGAUUAAUACAAGAUGGUGUUUCAAUUCCGCAUGUUAUUGAAACUAAAGAUUUAUCGGUAUCGGAUGGGGAUGCGUGACAUUAGAUAGUAGGCGGGGUAACGGCCCACCUAGUCUACGAUGUCUAGGGGUUCUGAGAGGAAGGUCCCCCACACUGUAACGGAGACACGGGCCAGACUCCGACGGGAGGCAGCAGUGAGGAAUAUUGGUCAAUGGUCGGAAGAUUGAACCAGCCAAGUAGCGUGAAGGAUGAAGGUUCUAUGGAUUGUAAACUUCUUUUAUACGGGAAUAAAACACCUUACGUGUAGGGUCUUGUAUGUACCGUAUGAAUAAGCAUCGGCUAACUCCGUGCCAGCCGCCGCGGUAAAAC
rnacentral:rRNA from 1 species